rnacentral:rRNA from 1 species
UACGUAGGGUGCAGGCGUUAAUCGGAAUUACUGGGCGUAAAGCGUGCGCAGGCGGUUUCUUAAGUCAGAUGUGAAAGCCCCGGGCUUAACCUGGGAACUGCGUUUGAAACUGGGAGACUUGAGUGUGGCAGAGGGGGGUGGAAUUCCACGUGUAGCAGUGAAAUGCGCAGAUAUCAGGAGGAACACCGAUUGCGAAGGCAGCUCGCUGGAACGUUACUGACGCUGAGACGCGAAAGCGUGGGGAGCAAACAGG